ensembl:lncRNA
CGAUGGCCUUCCAUUUCCGAACCCCGGAAAUUCAACCCAUCGCAAGUAGCCCUGGUUAAGUACCUUCUCUGCCAGACACAAGGGGAAAGACACUGGGGAGAGGACUGGCUGGGGAGUCACAAGGUCUCUGACAUACUAUAAACAUUAUGUGGAACUGGCGAUGGAUCUGAGAUCCACACAAUUCUCCAAGGCGUGGGAGGUGCAAUGUACUCCAGGGAGGGAGUUUCUACAGGAGUUCCCUCUACUAAUGAGAGCAUCAGUCCAAAGGGACACAAACCAGGGGCUGCCCUCAGGAAGAGGACCUUUUAUGUGGGUGUGCUGUGGAAUAUUACACAGACAAUGAAAUAUUAUUCUGGGAGAGAGAGUGAGCACUAGCAGCUAGGGGAAUCAGGGAAAGAUUUGCAUGUACCUGUGCAGGAUCUGCUGAGGAUGCUAAGAAGCAGGGGUGAGGAGGGACGGUGUCCAGGUACAGGGAACAAGCUGUUCAAAGGCUUGGAGAGGGGAGAUGGUGUCAAGGACAGGAAAUUGCUUGUAAUCCAGUUUGGCUGGAAAGUAAGAUCCCUGAGGAAGUCUGGAAGGGGUAGUAGGAUGCAGAGCUGGCUGGUUUUAUUCCGGAUGCAGGGGGAGCAACAUGGCCAGAUGGUAUCUUGGGAAGGUUCGCUGGGUGAGGAGAGGGAGGCAGAGCAAGCUGGCCAUCAUCGUUAGCCACAGACCAGAGGCAGUGAAAGUGUGCUGCCCACAAGUAGGAGGGGAGAGGAGAGGAGAGGAGUGCACAUCUGGCCCUUGGUGAAAGGGCUGGAAGCCCGCCUGCUCUUUCCCCUCACAAAGAAGAAGAAAACAUGGAGAGCACGGCCUCCAUCUGCAUCUUCCCAGAAACCUGGGACACAGUGAGUGGGAGAGGCAGGAGCACAAGAAGUUCUUCCCAGGCAAUCGGGGACAAGCAAGAGGCAGUGCGGUGCAAUGGAAAGUGCUGGACUGGGAGUCGAAGGCCCAAAGUUCGGACCCUGCCUCUGCUCCUUCCUGCCCCUGUGACCUUGGAGGGACAUUCCAUCUUCCUGGUUUUUGGUUUCCUCCUCAAAGUGAGAGCAAGUGGCCUCGAGUCAAUACCCUCUGACCCUUAACAUCAGGGGCCACCCCAUUUCCCAAGCAUUCGUGACCCUCCUGGCCAGAGAAUCUGGUCCCUUCAUAUCUCCUGCCCAGACUCGCACCCACAGACUUCACCCCUGCCCUCUCUCCCCUUAGAGGUGCUUGCUGGAGCUCCCUCUGCUUCCCAAGCGCUUCUAUCACCUUUCCUUGAGCUUCCUGUCCCCCAAAUAUUUCUUCAUGCCCUCCUCACUCCAUUAUUGAGCCCAUCUGAGCCAGCCUGGUCGCAGGGAUGCUGUCACUCUGUCAUGUCAGAGGAAAGCUGGGGGGCUCUGGGGAGCUCUCUGCCCUUUUAGUGACCCCGCCCCGUCCUCUGCUUUGUCAAGGAAUGUAUUUAUGUUGUAUUGUGUGCUCCCUAUGUAGAAAAACCUAUUUAUUUCAUUGUUCUGUUCUUAAAUAUAUUUAUGAUCUUUCCAACAGAAAAGCUGUGCUCCAGAAGUGUUUCUUAUUGGGUAGACCAUUUCCUCUCCACACAUCCCAUAAGGUGGACAGCCCAGUACGGCGUGUCCACACCAGAGUGGGCACUGCGCUCUAGGAGUAAAGCAGGAUUGAAGUAGCUCCAAAGAAACGUGAGGGGCACAAAGUCAGAGAAUCCACCCGACUGCUCUCGGGUUCUUUGCACCCAAUCCCUGGCGGAGCCUUCUGGCCUCCUCUCGGUCUGAUCAGCCGCAUGUGGACACACUGGCCUUGCCCCUAGCAUAGGGACGCCAUUCAGUAGAUCACCAGCUAGCAAACAUGUACAAACAAGUUCUAGACAGGAUAAAUUGGAGAUAACCAAUGAGGGAACGCUCUGGAGUGAAGCACUAUGGGUUGGGAAGGGCUUCCAGUACAAAGUGGGAUUUUCACUGGGACUUCAAAGAAGCUGGGGGUGGAGAUAAGGAGCAAGAACAUUCCGGCAGGGGAAAUAGCCUUCCACCUACUGCUGCUGACCCUUGGUCCCUGUUAUUCACUCUUUCCUGUUCCUCCAGAAGGGUUUUAAAAAUGCUGCCGUCAAGGAUCCAUCCCAAAGAAGGAAUACUCCCACCACUGCCAGGGUCUUUAGCAAUUUAGUGGCCCUCCCCAGACUGUCAAUCCAAGCUUGGUCCUCACCCAAUUGGACUCUCACCCAAUUAAACAAGCAUUUGUUAAACCUUCUACAAUUAGUGGGGUUUUAACUAAUCAAAGAGCAGUCAUUAGCUCCAAAAAGGUUCUCACACCUGGGAGAGAGGAAGAAAGCCCUUUCUCCCUUCCUCCUUUAAGCUGAGCCCCAGGAGAUGUGCCGCAGGGUAAAGGGCUGGGAAGGAGGUCUUGGACUCGGGCUGGGAUUCGGGUUCUGCCUCUUGCCACAUGAGUCUCUCUGGACCUCAUUUUUCUUUUACACCAUGAGGGGUUCGGAAUAGAGGGUCUCCAGGAUCCUAAAUCUUGCUAUGAUCAUUCAUUGCAAAGACCAGAGAGCUUAGCAACAAGCAAGUUCAGCCUGUCGCGAGGGACGUUCAGGAAGGACAGAAUGAGGGACAGCACGAGAGUAGCAUAUCCUAGAGGAGAGGGAGAACACUGUAGGAUGGGGAUCCAAGUAUUGGAGCCGAAGUAGGGGCCACCAAGAUCAACCUGUGUGUCCCUUUAGCCCCAACCAUAACUGACAGGAUCUGUGCUAGAAAGGUAGGAAGUUUGGGGAUUGGGAGGACCAGAUGGCGCCCCAAACAGGCUGGAACAAGUAUACUGCCUUUUAAGGGGUUAGGACGUCUCCCUAUUACCUCUGUGUUCUCACCACCAGCUUUGACCAAGUAGGAGCUCCAUCAUCUUUUUGAAAGCUUUUUUCCCAAAGCUCAGUCUGUCCAAUUGACCUUAGAUGUUGAAUAAACCCCUCAGGUGGAAGGCGAGGUGAGCUGUCGACGAAGCCCCUCCCACCAAAUCCUCUCAAAUCGCUUCAGUUGGUUUCGUAGGACCGGGGCGGGGGGGGGGGGGGGGCGUUCAGGAGAAAGUCUAAGAAGUCUCAGAUAUGGCCUUGCUUGAACAGCUACAGCCAGAGAGUGGUUGAGGCUGGCCUGGGAGUGUCGUCACCCUCCAGGAUGGUCUUGAGCCCUGUCCUUUACAUGUCUGUCACUGGCCAUAAGGCCCUGGGAAGUCCUCUGGUCUUCCUGUACCUAAUUUUCUUUUUCUGCAAAAAGGGAUUCCGACAGCUGAGGCUUGUGUCCUUAGGGUGCUGGUAGCCUCUGGCUCUGUGCUCUCCAGCUAUAGAUGUUUGAAGAGCCACAUAUGGAAGAGAGAUUAUGUUCAUUCUGUGCUGCUCCAAGAGGUCAAACUGGGGGAAGUUCUGGGGAGACAGAUUCCCUGUGAGAGAGGGAGCUCCCUGUCACUGGAAGGACACAAACAAAGGAAGCUGGUCGUCUCAGGACCAUGGAAGCAGCCUUGCUUUGGGAGCUAGGUUGGCCUCCGUGGUUUCCGAUGCCCCUUCCUGCUGGGAGGUUGUGAGUGAAUUGGUCCCCGAGUUGACCUCCCUUUCCUUGUUCCCUUGAACAGGAGGUGGGGAUACUCAGAAAUUCUCUGCCAGGUGUGGAGUCCAGCCCCAGGGAAUACCGAGAGUGGGAAUGAAUAUCCCAGGCCAGUGGAAGAUGUGCUUUGAGAUCUCCGUUUGUUAAUCUGAGCGCCGGGGUUUAUACACUCUUUAACUAGUAUCACAUCAACAACAGCUUCCUCCAGGUGACUCUCCGUACCUUCCAGGGUUAAUGCACAGACCAUACUUUGACAUCCCAAUUCACCUUAACUGGCAAUACCAAGAUCUGGAUCGUAACAGGGUCGUGGAUGAGAGAAAUCACCCGUGGCAAAGGCACUUGGCUGUGGUGCCUUGUUCCUGUCCCAUGCCCUCUCCAUCGGGAUUAUUCUCCGUUUAUCCCGGGUGUGGCUUUCAAAGAUUGUUAGGGAGACGAUGAGCCAAGGCUCCUUGUUCAGCCCUUACAGAGAGCGAUCUCAAGUAUUACCUGGACCAGACUCUUCCUGUAAAGGGCUUAUUCAGUACCGCCCUCUCCCACCCACAGCCAGAGGUGCCCUGUGCAUACGGGGAUCAGGGUCCCCCGCUUCUGCACCAACCAGAGCAGGGCCCCUCCACCAUCCGCCCUGGACUCCCUUGACCCUGGCUGCCCCCUGGGAGAAGCCUGGGGCCCUCUCUUCAGAAUCGUGUUUUUAAUAGGCCCCAAAUAAAAUGCGCAGAAUUAUGGAGAAAGCCAAAUGUGGGAGGCAGAGUUAGCCAGGUGUUCUUAAAAGUGAAGUUCACAGGCCCUGCCUUGGGGGACCCCGGGACCAUCAAGGCAAGGGGACUUAUCUCCUCUGCCUCCACAGGACAGCCCCUUGCCCCGGAAACAGAUCUUCUUGUGCCCUUCUCAGACGGCCAGCUCCAAUGGACUGAUGCGCCCUGGCAGCCCCUUUCUUUCCCUGAGCCUCAGUUUCCCCCUCAGUACCAAGGGCCCCUGCUAGCUCUUACCCCCAAGCUCAUGGCGAUCCCCGCUUUUGUCAGCAGGUGGUGCUGCAGAACCAAGUUUCUCUAGUUCCUCCUGAAGCACCUUGGGGAACGUGGGUGAGCCCCACUUUAAGCUGCUGUCGGAGGCCUGGUGGCGAGUGCCCUGCAACAAUAACAUCAGAAGUUGGUCCAAGGCCCAAACCUUUCUAUUGCCUUCUUCUUGGGCUGCUGUGCCAAAGAAAGUCCCGUCCUC